GCGUGCCUCACACACGCCGCCGCGCUGCUCCGCCUCGGCCGUCCGUUGCUGGUGAGCUGCUUGGCGGCCGCUUCGCCCUCUCCUCGACUCGCAAGUGUCAUUUACUGGUGUUGGUGAUGAGUGCAGCGAGUGAAGGAGUGCAGAGAUGUGAUCACACCAACACGCUUGGUAGCUUAUAGGAAAACAGCUGACCGUCAUUGGCCGGGGUGGAACAGGUGUCUCUCGCUCUCCACCUGGGUGCUUAGAAAAAAAUGGAUGCCUAAAUCGGUGUUCAAAGAAACUUCCUACCAAUGAUACAGGAGGAAAGUGCCGCAGUGUGUGUCUAGUGACGUGAGCCGCUAGUGGGCUGCUAAUUACAGGUCUGCACGCCACUCUGCUCCUGUGCUCCGCCUGGCGCGCGUCCGUGGCGGAGCGGCGAGGAUGACUGGCCGCCGGCAGGUGAGAACUCUGGCUGUAAAAACGACUGCGUUUCAACUUCCACCAAUGAGCGGCACACGCGGCCCUAAUGAGUGGUCGCAGCUGAUGUGGUGAAGGGCUCACCAUACCAGUGAAUGCUGCCAUGAAUAUAUACUGUCUGGUUUGUUCAAUUCUGUGAAUGCAUAGGAUGCGACAUCGUACCAACAAAUUUAUUAGCGAGACACUGCCGUCUGGUGCCUGACCGGGCUGGGCGUUGCAGCACCACAGGGACCCCAGUGAUAAUAAUGAUGUUUAUUGUUUGACGCAACGCAGCAGAGACCGCUGCUGCUCCAUUCAGUUAGGAAACUCUGUCACUGUAGCUGUCAAGUCAACCUCGACAUCAUUUCGUGUAGGGGUGGACACCAGAUUUUAUUUUCUAUUAUGUUAAACAUUCUCGUAACUUGAAACUUUCUUUUCAACAGAAAUUAAGUGAAUACAGUGAAACGCAAGUAACUUUUUAAGACUGAAUGCGUGGAAACAAACAAGACCUCACGAUAGUACUGUGAAUGAACCACGGUGAGGCUUGCCAGUGACGGGAAAGGGACGUGUGCUGGAUAACACGUGAAACGACACGACCACCUGCUCAACAGUUUGAAUCCGCCUUUGUAGAACUAUAUCAUUGGAAGGUUUUUAAUUAAAGAUAUUCGAGAUCGAGUCAAAGUGUGAGUGUUGCCAAUGAGUUAGGCAAGACUGGUGCGCCGCCCGUCACCCAUGCAUGUGUAAUGGAGUGAGUACCAGUCACCAACAGGGACUCCUGCUUGAUCUCUGACACAUCUUAUUGAAGCGUCUCUUUUUGAGGAACCUGCUAUUGGUUUCAAAUCCGUAAAAUGGAGGAAGAUGGCACUGGAAGACAGACAAGACUGGUUGGGACGCGGACACGUGUUAGUCUAGUGGCUGACAACCAGAGGGGGCAGGGAGGAGGACUUUUCAUCCUCAAAACCUCUGGAAAGUCUCUCCAGAAAAGUUGAAUAUCCAGAGAAAUAUCAUUUUAAACAAACUUUCCAUGAACACCGCUAUCAUGGAUUGUUGUUCAGUCGAUUAUGCCCCACCGAGUAAGAUUUCAGUGAUGUCUGGACCUCGCCAUGACAACUCGGAAUGCUCCGAGGAGUGCGAGGUGGACGGCAGCUACACGGAGUUUAUAGAGACGCAGUGGACUAAAGGCAGCAGCAGAAGUAGUAGUGAACUGGAUAAGGACAGUCCGUCUCACAUCGGAAGUGUGUUAGACGGUCUGGAGGGCACGCAAGAGAUAGGGAGUGACACAGAGAGUGUGGUGGUGAACGCACCCCUCCACGGCCCAACUACCGUCAGGUGUGUGUGUAUCUGCAAAAAGAAGGGAUGUAAGUUUGUAGACAGGCCUUUUGAUGCCCACAGUGUGAGAGAGUCGCCAAUCGCUAAGGUGUCUGCUAGAUACAGACUCGUCACGUGGCUCUCAAGUCUUAGGCCUCACCGAGGCUCCGAGUUCGCUGCAGCGGAUCAAAUUGAUGUCAGUUCCAAGGUUCACCCAGAAAAGAAAUCCAAAAUCAUCCAGAUGUUUAGAUCAAAAAGGUUUCGAAGUUACAGGACGCCGACGGGGGACACGCCCUCGGGUCCUGAGGACGUGGCCAAGAAACACUACCCUGGGCUGAACGGCCCUAGGAGGCACGUGUUGCCUGGCAGGCUCAGGGAGUGCGAACUGUCUGUGCCUCGGUGCUUUGGGGUGAUGGUUGGUUUGGCACUCGUUCUGUUAGGAAUGACUUACGACCACGGUGUGAAGCACGGGGUGGACAACCUGCUGCAAGACUGCUGGUCGUGGCUCAGGACCAGCUACAUGAACUUUGGUGACGAGUUCGUAUCGUACAACAGCCUAUUUUUCAGAAUGGCCAACAGAGAUGUUCUCUACGGAGAACCUUAUCCCAAAUAUGGGACCACUAACGUCAAGAACACCACCGGCAACACCACCAGCUUUAAGGAUGCCAUCAACAAAGUGGAUCCCAAAUUCCUCUUCGUGUUGGAGGGACUAAAGCUAUCCGUCCAGGUGCACUUUUUUAGCAUCGAUGAAGACACCAACAAGUUUAAUCCAGAGGUUAUGGUCCAUGACCGAGGUCCGUUGUUCUUUAGGAUAUCCUUCAAGAGGACGGCCGGACUGCAUGUGGACUUUGUGCGGGAGCGGUCCAACAUGACUCUCCAGACGCCCUUUCAUAUAUAUGACCUGAUGAAGGUAAUCACCGUUAGCAAUGAAAUUCCUUACUUCGGGAUGCACAUGCACGAUUACCUCAAGACCACGCCGUCUGCUCUCUUUAACAUGAUUAUCAAGAAUCUGAAACUGUUCAACGUGGACACCACCUUCCUCUCCAGCAUUAAGGCGCAGAUACAAAAGAGAGGAAGGGGAUUUAGUAGGAGAAUAAGAAGACGCUCUGAGGUAGAAAAAGGGAAAGAGAGAACCAGACAUUACAUUCCAUCUGCGUCAACCACAGUGCAGCCACAGAAAGCGACGGCCGGGACGGUGCCAGGGUACACAGCUGCUCCAGUCACCACCACGAGAGCCGCGGCUGUGGCACCAACAAACCGGCUGUGGUGGAAUACGACCAGUGGCUUGCCUUUUACCACCGUUACCAACACUAUGGGGAGAACGAGACGCUCCACCGAGGAGCCAAACUUGAAGAAAGUCGCCUGGAGGGCAUUAACAGAAAUGUCUCGUAAGAUAUUCCUUCCCCUUCCUUUAGAUACAAAGAAAACGGUGUUGUUGCCAGUGCCCUUCAUAGAGAAGAAUCUAACACUCCGUUACCGUCAUUCUGUCAACGUUCUGGGCCUGCCGGGCUACCAGUUCAUCCUUGGCAAUGACGUUUCCAAGUAUGGAGACCCUUGGGACUAUCAGCCGCAUGACUUGUACCCCUCCCUCAGCUACUCCAGGGUUAAGGAAGACCUUGGAGACGAUGACUCGCAUCAACAGCGGCACAGAUACAACGAUAAGAAAAAACACCAGCAUCACCGUCACUCGAAGCAUCAAGGCACUCUGGAGGGCGACAGCUACAGGCGGAGCUUCAAUGAAGUGCUCGGUGUGGUUGACCUUGAGGACUUGUUGAUACAGUCUAUAGGAAAGCACAUGCUCAUGGGUCGCCAGCUCACUAAUUUUCCUUUUUGGUUAUCACCCCCUCAUUUUUUAUCACUAGGCAACCACUUAGAAAAUUACAAGUCCAAUGUAAAUGCUAGGAAAUCGUCGAACAGUUCAGGAACAAAAACUUCUGGUGAACAAUUUUCUAAAGACAGUUUAAAAGACAAUGUUAUGGUGGGGUUGGAAGGAGUCUCCGCCAAUGAGUCUAUCCACGGCUCAUUUAUCUACUACCACCCAAUCCUUGGGGUCCCUAUCAACGCCUCGCUAGCCGUCCAGGUGGGCGUGCGCCCGCCCAAGGGCAUGCUGUUUUCCCACAAGUUGGUGCCGAUCAUGUGGACGAGAGUGCAGGUGGAGGAGGUGCCACGGACGCUGUGGUAUAUCCUGUGGGCCGCUUGCCACCUCCGAGAGACUAUUAUGUCUUCACUCAUCAUCACUGGCCUCCUCAUCAUCACCUGUUCUCUUAUGUGUCGAAGGAAGAAGAGGCGACAGGAACGUCCAGGUAGUAGUGCCUAAGGUAGUCAUGUCGGUACUGAAGGCGUAGCAACAAAGAGCAAAGCAUCGGCAGAUGAGGCUCAUAAACAGUUAGGACUUACUGUCAGACGACUACCCAAGAACUCAAUGAUACAAUGCCGGGAGAGUCAUUGCGGGUGUUCCAUGUCUUCCUUGCACAUACAUUCUCUUCCAUUAAACAAAAGCGUCGGGGUGGAAAUUUAGAAGUGAAAAUACUCGCGAACUUUACAACAUCCGAGCACGUUGUGUGUCAAGUGGGGAGCAAGCCAACUAAAUUAACUCCCUCGCCUCUUAAAUUGGAUGACUUUGCUCCCUCGCAACUCUGGAGGAGGUCGGCGUGGAGGUUGAGAUGUGCCACGCAUCAGCUGCAGCGGCGAGGUGACGGAUCCUCCUGUUCACUCCUUGUCCCGCCGCUGCGCCCCAUGACCCGCGUGGGAAUAUCUCGUGCCAGCUGCCAGCUGCAGUGGCUCAGAUAAUGGAAGUGUUGGCCUAAGGAAGUGUGUGAAGCGCAUGUUUGCAUGUGUCAGGUCAGCCCGUAAGCUUGAGUGAAGCAGUGUUUGUGAGAAUCGUUUUUGCCAAGUGCGUGUGGCAGGCGCGCAGCGACUUUGUACUACAACAGAAGUCAUCUGAUCCGUCGCUGUGACCUGACCAGGACGGCUAGACACAAGGUGGGCCACACUACCAUGAGUCACAUCAGGCCCCGUGUCGCUCAGAGAGGCACAGGCUGCCACGCCGCUGCUGAACCUCGCCCUUCAGGAGCUGCGCCGCCCUCGGCCACAAGAUGUAAAGUAGAUGUCACCCCGGAGCAGCCCGAGCCCCCACGAGAGAUGUUUUGGUACAUCCUUCCCGUCAUCGGCCUGGGAAUACUCGCGGCAUUGGCUUUCCUCCUGUGCGUGGGCA
rnacentral:misc_RNA from 1 species